CAUUUUUCCCCUUUUCCUAAAGCAGAAUGAUGUACAGCACUUGGACGAAACUUCCCUGUAGAUAAAAUGACACCCAGUGGUCCUGUUGGAAUGCUGUCUGCUAUCUCUCAGAUUUAAAGCAGGUUUCUCUGCUCUCCAGCAGAGAAGGCAAGAAAUGCCAGAUGAUGGGGAUGGCAUUGAAUAACCACAGGAGACAUAACCAAGAGCACAAGUCCUGAAAACUCAACACGGAUGGUCAUCUCAGCCAAAGCAAAUUUGCAAGCCUUAAGAAGGAAGUGCUGCUCCUUAGUAUUUAUGCUUUAAAAAAAAACCCUUCAUUUUACAAAUGACUUUUAUAAAAUUUUUAAUGGCUCGUACAAUGGACUGUACGGAAAUGAUUUACUUGCCUGUCUACUUCCUCUUCAUAUGUAACCUCUUCUCUGAAUGUGGUGAAACUUUAACGGCCAAGGAGUUGGAUGAUUAACAUUAACGGGAGUUGCCUGUGUUAAUCCCUUGUGCAUAACUGGAUUUUUAUCUGUUAAACUUUUCGAGAUUUAGCCCUUACACAUGUAAUACAAUUUGUGUCAGAAAAAUUCAGUAAAUGUGUUUUAUUUAAAAGUGAACACUUGGAAGUUGGAAUGUUGGCUCAUCCGUAGGAGACACAGAAACACUACUGAAUAUCUAAUAGUUAUAAUUUUUAAACAAUUAAUGCCAUAUGUAGUGGCAAUUUGAGAUAAAGAAGUGCCUGGGGACAUGGAAAAUCUCUUUUGUAACUGUAUAGUAAAAAAGCAAUUAUUGAGCCAGAUUAAGUUUGAGAUUUGGGGCCAUACCUGUGUUCCCUAUUUCUAUUAAUUCUCCCUGUCAUCAAAACUUAGGAAAAGCAAAGAUAGCACAAAUGUUCUUAUCUAUCCACCCUUCAUAUCUGAGACUGAUUCUGUUCUCAACUUUCAUCUCAACUGUUCCCUCAUUCUUAUUUCCAUUUCCUCAGUUCAGAGCCUCAUUUAUUUUCGUUGGAUUAUUUCAAUAACCACUUAAUUCCUCAUUGCCCCAUUCCAGGACAUCUUACACCUAAUGUCAUAUAAUUUUUCUUGUGUCAUGCCAACCCUCCCUUCAUAAGGCAAUGCUUUGUAUUGCCUAGUGAAGAAAUGACCAAAUUUGGCCCGAAAAUCAAGACUUCCAUUAUCUGGUCCAACCUCAUUUUACUAGUUUAUUUUUACAUUCACAUCAACUCAGCCAUAUGGAACAACCAAUGACUUCUGGCAAAUCUUGAGCUUUCUUCCCUCUAUGUCAUUGCCUGCACUAUCUCUCUGUCUCUUUAAAUAACCAAAAAAAAUUUUAGUGCUUUAUUAUUUAUAAAACAAUUUUGUAAGAAUUGUGUCAAUAGGCCCUCAAAGAGGAUAUAAAUAGAGGUGUACACUAGGCAUUUUCCUUUCCAUUAAACAGAAGAGUAAAUAGAGACUUACAGAUAUUAGCUGUUGAUAGGAACAGCCUAGCAGAGAUAUAGCUACAAUAACUCUAAAACAAAAUUAAACCAAACACACAUACACACAAAAAUCAUUCCAGCUUAACACAAUCUCAUCUUAUAAAUCAUAAUAAGGAAAGAACUUACAAGAUCUCUACAUCAAAAUGUAUCUGAAAAAUGUGUCUCGAUAGAAGAUGAGUCAAUUCAAUGAUAAUUACAUUUAAGGCAGGCCUAUGUAGAAUGAAUCCCAAUAGCCUGAAUAUGGAUCCUCUAUGGAGCUACCAAUUACUGCUACUGAAAAUUUAUGACUAAUGGAUUAUAUAUUAAUUUCAUAUCUAGGGAGUUUUGCACCCCCAUCAAAUAGACUCUCCCCUCAUUUUCCUUUCCUAAUGAGUUUCUAUUCCUUGGUUUUACAUACUCUUUUCACGCAAAAAGAAAUCCAGAAGUUUGUGAUAAUGCUAGCUUUCUUCUUACUAACAUUGUUGUCAAUAAAACAUAAACAUUUUAUCACAAUGGAAUAGGUGAAUUUUAGGUUUUGACCUAUAGAAUCUAAAGGAUGUAGAAUUUCAUUACAGGACCAACUAUGUCAAAAUUAUCUGGUACUUUGUUAAAUAUGGAGGUAUAAAUCAGAAUCUUCAGAUAUGGAACCUAGAAAGCUAUUUUUCAAGGACUUCAAAUGAUUCUUAUGUCCUCCGACCUUUAAGAAAAAAUAGAGAUCUUUCACUUAUAUCAUUAAUGGAGUAGCUUGCAUGAAACCAAACUUUCUGCCAUGGACAGAAACAUACAUAAAAUACAAAGCAUACAUAAAAUACAAAAUCAAACAUACAUAAAAUACAAAAGACUAAACAGCUAUUUAAAGGAAUCAGACAACAACCAAGGUAGCCUGGACUUGAGGGAUUAAUCUCCAGGAGGGAAGGGAUGUACAUUUAGGUAAGCCCCACAUUUACUACCAUUUUUUUCUUUGAUACAUUUGCCAAUUCCCAGGAUGGUACAUAAAAAACAAACAAUU
rnacentral:lncRNA from 10 species